GAAAUGCACUUUGAAUGAUUUUAUUCAGGAUUGUUUGGAUUCAUUCCUGACAAUAGCUCUGGAAGCAGAAGUUUGUGAUGGAAGUCUUUGGAGCCCAACACUUACAAAGAGGCAAAUCAAACCACCAGUGCAAACAUCCACAGGACUACAUAGAGGGUAAUUCACAGCAAAUUGUAGAAGGGGGUUUAGGCACAAACUCAAACCCUGAAAAGGCAAUGUCAUAAAUACCUGCUCAGUUUGCCUGCACAAAAUAAGGACAUGUGCUUUUCCUGAGGUGCUUCCCUGGGUCUCAAUGGCAAAGAACCUCUUCUUGGCUUCGCACAAAUGGGAACAAGCCCAGGAUUCCCAUCGCGCUCAGCCCAGACAGCCCAAACUGUCUUUUCCAGUGUGUGUUGCUUAAUAUAUGUCAGUUGCUAUUUCGGGCUUCCUGAAUAAUGAGGUGGUGAAGGGUACCCAGGAGCAAAAGCAGAAGAGCUCUCGGGGUGAGCUGCCACCACCAGAGCUGAAACAAUGCGGUGGUUAUUUCUGCAGUCUUCAAGACGAGCCCAGACAGACUCGCAGGGCACAAAUCUCACUAGAGGUGCCAAAGGUGAGCUCAGGUAUGAGCUCAGAAGAGCAACAGCUCAGGAACGGGUCCAAAAAUUAGGCUCUGGAGCAUGCGGUGAUGUAGGAGCUGGAGGAAUCAGAGCUCUGCCUGCCCUGCAUUUGGGGGAUGAGGAGUCACAAAUCCUUUUUGUUCUUUUACACAAUUACAAGGGCCUGCAGGGACAGGACAAGGGGGUAUGGCUUUAACCUGCCAGAGGGGAGAUUGAGAUGAGCUCUUAGGCAGAAGUUCUUCCCUGUGAGGGUGCUGAGGCGCUGGCACAGGGUGCCCAGAGAAGCUGUGGCUGCCCCAUCCCUGGCAGUGUUCAAGGCCAGGUUGGACACAGGGGCUUGGAGCAACCUGCUCUAGUGGAAGGUGUCCCUGCCCACGGCGGGGGGUUGGAGCUGGAUGAGCUUUGAGGUCCCUUCCAACCCAAACCAUUCUAUGAUUCUCUCAAUUCUCCCAGG
rnacentral:lncRNA from 1 species